CUUGGUCUUUCAAGUAUUACCUCGGGUCUUUGGUUUCACUUACAAAGACAAAUGGACAAGUUUCAACAACGUUUCGGCUCCAGUACAAAACCCAAUUUUAUGUCACGCAACGUACCUUCAAAUUAACCUUCGCAUUUAGUCCCCUAUUAAAGAUUUUAGGUCUUGUUUGUGAUUUUUUUCUCAGAUUCCUCUUGAGCAGAUUUACAUUAUGCAAAUGUUGAUGAAAUAUACAUGUACAUGCAGCCUGCAAGGUUUUUAUAUCUGUUUUUAAUACGUUAACAGUGUAUUCAUUUGAAUUGUGUGCAAAAGUUGAUGGGAUUCUUAAGCCCAGAUCUUGGGACCUCAGUAAUUUUCAACAUUGAGGCUGGUGUAGGACUUGCAAAUUCCACCAACCUUACUGUCAAACUGUGUACUUGUAGUUUACAUCCUGGAGGUUGGAACAUGUAUUAUAAAGUUAAAUACAUGUUGUGCACACUGCAGUUGGAAAUUGGUUAACACAUACCUGCUAUAACAAAUCACUAGGGAUAGCAGACAAAUUUAUGCAUUUUAAACAGGCGAAAACAGGGAUAGAUUUUUUCAGAUUAUGGGUGAGAUAAUUCAAAUGCUUUGAUCUAAAGUUUUACAAAUGCCGAUCCGAAUCCACCCAAAGCCGACUGAACAAAGUUCGAUCCUAUCCGAGGCCGAAUUUGGACCAUGUCAGUUGGAAUCGAUAGUGCAUAUCUCUUGAAACUAAAAUCUAAUGGGCGUCAUGGUUUGGGGUCCAAUUGCUGGAAGUUACAAUUCUUCUGGAUUGUGUACAGUGUAAGUUUUAUCCACAGCCUUAUAAUUACUUAAGUUGGUUUGUUGUCACACUCAUGGCUUCAGCGUUAUACCCUACCUUGCGUAUUCAAAGUAGUUUAAAUAACAAGGGUGCGAAAUGUCAAUGUUUACACUACGUCGACACCGCCUGUUCAGUAUGGACAACAAGCAAUAUACCAAUGAUUAAUUGCCGUUUUUUUAAUCUUAUCGUAAUUACAGUCAGUCAGGAGAACAUAAGAGACAGUCCCUGUCUAUUGGAAAUGACGCCUCAUUCUCAUGUGUUCAGUACAUUUGUAAUAUUUGAAAUUGUCUGAAUUAUUUCACAGUUUAUCAUAAGAACGGUCACAGUUUAUGAAAUGUGAGCUAGUUGCAAUUCAUUUCCAAUGAGAAAUAAUUUCAAAUGGCAUGUGGUGGAUCUUUUUUAAGGAAACAUGCAUGUAGCACGUGACUUACUUGACUUCAAAGGAAUUUCUGUUCAUAGUGCUCAAUCUCAUUUUCAACGGACAGAAUUAAAGAAACAGUCACAUAUGGCUCCGUCAUUCUCGCCCUCUGUAGCUUUGUUGUAAAGUUCCCCGAUUUAUGCAUUGGCCAACCAUUUCUUAUACAUGCCAGUGUUGGCAUGACAAAUGGCUGGCACGAACCCACUCUCACCAUGCCAAUAUUUACUCACCUAAAUUAAAUUUGCAACAGAAUCGAAAGGAGAGGAGCGACAGAACGUGGUGCAAACAACACCGCUUCAGCAUAAAACAAAGUGAAAUAUUAGAAAUAGAUGAGUGCAGAAAAGAAUUCCAUGGUUGGCAAUACACUGAAGACAGAUGAAUCCAGCUUUUUCCUCCGGUUUUUUUUCUCUCGAGUAUUCUCCAUUUCACAUACUUGAUAGACCGAAGGCAAACAUUAAGCUAAUCAGUAAUCUGUCUGAGACAAGAAUACUCGAUAUUGUACGCCACUCUUAACAGUGCAUGGAUAUUAUAUUCAAUUUUCGUUUAUCAUGCUCAGUUUUUUUGAUAAAACAAUGACGAUGAACAUUGUACAGGUUUAAUCGUUUUAUAUCUGCAUUUGUCGUGGCAAAAUAUGGCUGGUCUUUGCUCACUUCUACAAAUGACAUCUUCUGAUCCUUACAGAGUCGCCUUGCAUGAAAUCUUGGAUUUUUGUUUUAUGCAUUAUGUGCCUGUUUCUAGGAAGCAAAGGAGUCGGGCUCGCUUUGAAUCGAUCCAGAGCAAUUACAAUUAAAUUAACCACCGCUCCUAACCUUCGGCAAUUAUUUCUUGAAGUUCUGGAAGCAAGCGGAAAUGUGCCGAUUCCUCAGAUCAACUUUCAAAUUUUCAUCCUUGUCUCUCGGGAUAAGUUCACUGAAGAGCACCUUGGAUAAUUACACCUGUCUCAUCGGCAAAAUUCUCGCCUUUGUAAAUUUUAUUCUCAUGCCGUGAUUGCUUUGUUCCAUUCAGUACUGCUUCUAGUUAAUUUCCUCUAAACGUUUGAAUCUGACCAAAGGCUUGUAUAAUUUUUAACUGACUUUGCAAGUCAAUUACAGGCCCAACACUCUUGCUACUAUGGUUUCAUUAUCGUAUAAACGAAAGCACGUGAGUCAUGCGAGAAAUUGGUGGAUAGUGAUUGGAGGAAAUAGGCAGAAUCUCGUCAUUGAAAAGUGGACGCGCCGCAGGCCUCAGACCAGGCAAUGAUGCCAAGCAACGACUAGAGGGAAAUCUCAGGAAUACUUUGUGGGACAACAUUGAUGAAAGAUACGGUCAAAAUAGCGCUUGCUGUGCACCAACCACGACGUCAGAUCAUUACGUAUUCUUUUGAAACAUAGGACAAUGGGAUUAGAGUAAACCAACGGGCGGUGGACGCUGUUUUGCCGGACGGUUUAUAGGUGAGGAAUUAUGUUGAAUAAAGUUUCUUCCGAUCCAAAUCACCACUGCUUAUAUCGUUGCCUAUAAUCUAUUGUGGUCUUUGGAAAUUAUUAAGAAAUGUUGACAAGUAUGCGCAAUAUUAUGGAAGCCAUUUAAAAAGACAACUUUGUUGACAAAUUUGUUUCCUUAGAAAACAUACCUGCCUGUCCAUUUUCAAAUUAUUUUUCAUUGUGAAACUAAUUUAUUUGGACCACAGUAGUAGAAAUUGCAAAUAUUAUGUUGACUGGAAACAAUCAUUAUCAGAUUUAGAUUUCUUGAUUAUGGUGGGUGUGAUCAAACAGAUGAUACAUGUAUGUCUUAAGUGUGCUACGCUAAGGGGCAAUGAAAGCUCUGUAUGCUUCUCUCGAUUUGGUCUCAGGAAAACGUAGAAAUUAGAUCAAGAUGAUGUUUGCUCUAUCAUCAAUACUCACAUUUAUAUUAUUUACAUGUACAGUUGGACAUUUUCCAAUGAACAAACCAACUGGGUGAUAUAUUGAUAUUUGAAUUUUUUUUUUAAGUUUAUAGAUGUGAUCAACUCGGUAAUGAAUCGAACGAUCGAGGAAUCGAAGGUGAACGUCAAGCAAGAAUUGACUUGGGAGGGAACAAUACUUUAAGUUUAGGAUAAUUAGACUGACGGACGAAUAACAAAGGGCAGACAUUACCAAGUAAAACCGUGUGUUUUAAUCACUUGUUUUUAUCACUGCAACACUGGCUGUAAUACUGAUUUUACCUGUUUCUACUCAUUUUGCAACUUUCUCCAUGCCCAUUAGCGAAGUGCGAUUGCGCUUAGAUCACUUACACUGCAGCGUCAAGCGGCAAAAUGUCGUGCAAUGCGCGUUUGAAUGUUGUCUGUGUCGUGUCACUGAUGUUGAGUAUUACUGUUUAAAAUCUGUAAAUAUUUCUUGGAAAGUGUCUUGCCAAACAGCUUUCAUUUCGAUGAAUUCUGGAGAGAAUAUUAUUUGUUUUGAUUUGUUUUGUGGCUAUUCUGGGAUAAUCUAUUGUGUGUUGAUGCAUUGUUUCUCUCAUGCGUCAUCAAUUUGCGCAUUAGUCGAGUCAACAACAGCAGUGCAAACGUCUUUACCAUUGGUUACAUCUUCUUCAAUCACCACCGAACAAAGAGCUACGACUUCUCAGUCAUCAACUCAGCCCCCCACAACUGUGAUAACAAGUACAGCGCUACCAACUUCCUCUCCUUUGACUGACGCGCAAACAACCGAUGGAGUUUCAACAAGUCUACGAGCAACUGAAGUUACAUCCGGGUUUCCUGCACCAACGGAACAGCUUUCGAACGCUACACUACCCCUGACUAAAUUAUUAAACUAUUCGCUACCCUCAACGUCUCCAGCAACCGUUGCACCUUCGGAAUCUCUGACCACAACCAAGUAUUUUCCAACAACAAGGCAACCUGCAUCGCGCUGCAAUUUGGACCAUAUCGAGUUCGAGUGUUUACCAGACAGUACUACAGUCGAUGAUGUCAAGAUUCACUCCUCUGAAGAACAAUUGCUACUUACUGAUCUGCUGGCACUAAUGACGUGGUUGGCGGACCAUGACGUCAUUCCAAACAGUUCUACAAAUGCUACAGGCUAUGUUGAAUCCUACAUGGAGACGGUCGAUAACUUGUUAGAUGACCGAUUUGUGAAUACGUGGAACCGACCUAACGCAGUACCGAUCUUUGCAACCAAUCUAGUCAUAUAUUCCCAGAACGUACUAACAAAUCUGGCAAGAAGCGCACCCUCCGAGUUUCGUCACGUCAGGAAAGUUCGUAAUUUGGAAUUUGAAGUCUUGAAGUCAACUAAUGUAAGUGAAUAUUGUUUCAAGUCACAGUUUAAUGAAAAAAAUCCAAGCACGACAAUAACUGUCAAGAAAGAAACAAUCGACAGCUUGAAUGUCACCGAAAAUAAUGACCUUGCCUUCACAACGUUGAUAGCAAGGAAAGGAAACCUCAUCCACGAAAGAUAUUCAAUGAAGGAACCUGCAAGUCAAGUCAUUGUUCAUUCACUUCAAGUUGAUGGAGAAAUUGUUUCCGUUCCGGUCACAUUACAAAUGAAGCUUCUGCAGGAACGAAAAUCCAACGAGGAACCUUUGUGCGUAUUUCUGGAUGAAGAUAAAAGCACUGUUCAAUGGAACACUCUUGGAUGUUUUGCCGACAAGACCAAAGACACGCGGUUUUCCAUCAUUUGCCAGUGUAAUCACACAACGAGCUUCGCAGUACUCAUGCAACUUCGGGAUUUCAAGAUUUCGGAUGGGGACGCAAAAGCCUUGGAAAUUCUAACUUAUCUUCUAUGUGGCCUAUCAAUCAUGGGUCUUAUGACCACACUUGCGGUGUUCAUGGCUUUGAGGUCUUUGCUGAAAUCAGAUCGUGUCACCAUCCACACAAACCUUUCGGUUGCACUAAUUUUGGCUCACUUUCUUCUGCUAGUGUCUAAUACAGCUUCAAAACACGAGAUUGCUUGCCGCAUCGUCACCCUCUUGAUGCAUUAUUUCUUCCUGGCUGUGUUUUGCUGGAUGCUUGUUGAGGGCGUUCAUCUUUAUUUUCAGAUUGUGCGCGUUUUCUCCAGUGGAAUGGACAGAAGAAAGCCAUAUAUGGUACACCUUGCGUGAUUGUUAUCAUUACUGCAGCAUCCCGGUGGGACGAUUACAUCAAUCCAGACAGCUGUUGGUUAUCGACAGAGAACAAUGUUAUUUGGGCAUUCGUUGGACCUGCUUUGGCCAUCAUUUU
rnacentral:misc_RNA from 1 species